GGGGCGGUAGCUCAGCCCGGGAGAGCACACGGCUGAAGACCGUGGUGUCGUGAGUUCAAAUUUUUGAAAACCUCACCCGCCCCACCA
rnacentral:tRNA from 1 species